ensembl:lncRNA
GAAGAAGGGAGAGGAGGAGGAGGAGGAGAGAGGAAGACACCUAACACAACUAGGACGACAGACGUGAUCAGCAAGAUGGAGAACACACAAAGACACACAAAGGGUACCCUCUCUCCCUCUGACACCUUCUCCGUCUCAACCUCUCAGACCAAACCCCACUGUAGACCUUUGAGAAAGAGAGAGGAAGGGCAGAAGAGAGCGCGAGGGCUGCAGUGAGCUCUACGAUAGUGACGAGCCCGGAACAAAACAUCGAUCAUCGACACGGCUGAUUAGCUGUCCACUCUUCCAGAACGAGUGCAAGUAAACAGACAACUAAGAAGGACAUUGUGACCUCUUGUGGACAAUCAGAGACUUACACCUGAGAACGAAGGAGAACGCUGUCCAAAGGAGAAGGCCCAAUCAACCCUCCUCACAAAGCGGAACCCUUUCCACGAAUGCCUGGGCCCAACAGAGAUACCCAACGAAGACCUUCAACAUGUACAGUGGGGCAAAAAAGUAUUUAGUCAGCCACCAAUUGUGCAAGUUCUCCAACUUAAAAAAAUGAGAGAGGCCUGUAAUUGUCAUCAUAGGUACACUUCAACUAUGACAGACAAAAUGAGAGAAAAAAUCCAGAAAAUCACAUUGUAGGAUUUUUAAUGAAUUUAUUUGCAAAUUAUGGUGGAAAAUAAGUAUCUGUAUUCAUAGUCAUGUAAAAUUCAGAGAUUAGGGCCUAAUGAAUUUAAG